CAGCCAUUGUUAAGUGCAGAACCAGAAACAUUCAGCGUAUGGGUCUUCAUGUUAAUCCUCUGAGGACUGCGGCUAUGAAUCUCUACAAGAAGUUUGGGUUCCACUACUCUGCGGAUCGAGAUGGCUAUAGAAGGCAGAACAUUUUAUUACAUUAAGAAAAAAAGGAACCAAAUGAAGACAACUAAAAGCGAUUGUCUCAGGUAAGCCUGCAACACAAGCAGCAUAUUAACUUGUAUUGAAUCCUCCCACUGCAGUUUAGGAAAGGAACCAAACCCGAAAACUCGAACCGGUCAUGGAGUUCUUGGUAGCAACAUAAUGUAAAUCAACCCUCCCGUGGAUCAUAGUAAGCUAUUCUCUUCUUGAACUCUGUAGAUCAUGUCAGCACAAGCUUAGUUUGUAGAAUUGAAUAAGAUCAUGUUUAGAGGCUCUUAAAUUUCAAACCCAAAAUUUAUUUUUACUGAUCUGUUCUGAUGUCAUAUUGACAAUAUAAUAUAUAGAAAUCAUCAGUUUCCUAUUGGUAUCUGUUUUUAAAAUCCUUUUCAGAUACGAUUCGUUAGCCACAUGUGUUUUCAUCAUGCCUUGA